GUCCACGCCCUAAACGAUGGAUACUCGACAUUUGUGAUACACUAUAAGUGUCUGAGCGAAAGCAUUAAGUAUCCCACCUGGGAAGUACGACCGCAAGGUUGAAACUCAAAGGAAUUGGCGGGGGUCCGCACAAGCUGUGGAGCAUGUGGUUUAAUUCGAUGAUACGCGAGGAACCUUACCUGGGCUAGAAUGCGGUUUGACCGUGGGUUAAAGCUCACUUUGUAGCAAUACACAGAUCGUAAGGUGCUGCAUGGCUGUCGU
rnacentral:rRNA from 1 species